rnacentral:lncRNA from 1 species
GUCCCCAGGCCCAUGAGUUCACUCUGUCUCCCUCCUUGGCUCCAUGCAGCUGGCCUGUGCGCCUGCUGUCACUUCCUGAGCCCGGCUGACUGCUCCCUGGGCUGGGGUGCUGAAGCCUGGCCUGGGGCCUGGGUACAGUUGAAGUGCCAGCCGGUGUCCCCAAGUGCAGGGACACAGUGGAGAUGGCUGGGACCCUCCCCCACCACAGGACCCAUGGGCCUCUCCCCCAGGCUCUGAGACCUGUCUCCAUAGUCUCAGAGUCACCGAGGAGGGCCAGAAACAGAGUAUAGUGUGGAGGGGACCAGCCUGGACACAAGCCCCAGUGGGACCAGGUGUUGUCAGGUGGGGAGGACUGUUCCCUUCCUGCUGGGUGAGGGGACCCCACGAGGACAACCCCAGCCUUAGCAUUGGUGGUCCUGGACUCCAUUUCCCAUUUCUUCCAGAGAAUGUGGGCCUUCAGCCCCACCCAGCUCUGCCCUGGGGAAGCUGUUGCCCUGCCAUGUGUUCCUGGGGAACCCAGCAGACAGCUGCUGCUCUGUAGACUUUGAC